GUAGGGAAUAUUGGACAAUGGGCGAAAGCCUGAUCCAGCCAUGCCGCGUGAUAGAUGAAGGCCCUCUGGGUUGCAAAUAUCUUUUAUCUGGGAAGAAACUCCUCAAUUCUUAGAGGCCUGACGGUACCAGAGGAAUAAGCACCGGCUAACUCCGUGCCAGCAGCCGCGGUAAUACGGAGGGUGCAAGCGUUAUCCGGAUUCACUGGGUUUAAAGGGUGCGUAGGCGGGUUGAUAAGUCAGUGUUGAAAGCUCCGGGCUUAACUUGGAAACUGCCAUUGAUACUGUCAAUCUUGAAUGUCGUAGAGGUAAGCGGAAUGUUGCAUGUAGCGGUGAAAUGCUUAGAUAUGUUACAGAACACCAAUUGCGAAGGCAGCUUACUAUGCGAUAAUUGACGCUGAGGCACGAGAGCGUGGGGAGCAAACAGGAUUAGAAACCCUAGUAGUCC
rnacentral:rRNA from 1 species